CUACGGGUCGCAGCAGUAAGGAAUAUUGCGCAAUGGAGGCAACUCUGACGCAGCCAUGCCGCGUGCAGGAAGAAGGCCUUAUGGGUCAUAAACUGCUUUUAUUUAGGAAUAAACCCCCGAACGUGUUCGGGGCUGAAGGUACUAAACGAAUAAGCACCGGCUAACUCCGGGCCAGCAGCCGCGGUAAUACGGAGGGUGCAAGCGUUAUCCGGAUUUAUUGGGUUUAAAGGGUGCGCAGGCGGGCUAUUAAGUCAGUGGUGAAAUCCCGGGACUCAACUCCGGAACUGCCAUUGAUACUGAUAGUCUUGAGUUUGGUUGAAGUGGGCGGAAUGUAGCAUGUAGCGGUGAAAUGCAUAGAUAUGCUACAGAACACCAAUCGCGAAGGCAGCUCACUAAGCCAAAACUGACGCUCAUGCACGAAAGCGUGGGGAUCAAACAGGAUUAGAUACCCCGGUAGUC
rnacentral:rRNA from 1 species